GUGCCAGCCGCCGCGGUAAUACGGAAGGGGCAAGCGUUGUUCGGAAUCAUUGGGCGUAAAGGGCGCGUAGGUGGUCCUAUGUGUCUACUGUGAAAGCACACGGCUCAACCGUGUCGGGUCGGUAGAAACUGUAGGACUUGAGGCUGGGAGGGGCUGGUGGAAUUCCCUGUGUAGCGGUGAAAUGCGUAGAGAUGGGGGAGAACACUCGUGGCGAAGGCGGCCAGCUGGACCAGUCCUGACACUGAGGCGCGACAGCAUGGGGAGCAAACAGGAUUAGAAACCCUAGUAGUCC
rnacentral:rRNA from 1 species